GACUGCAACAGGAUCUUCAGCCAGAAUUAUCACGUCAUCCUGACUGAGUCACCUCUCCUGAAAAGUCCAUGUUUUAGGCAUCAAGCAUUGCUAUUUCCCUGGGGAGAGCAUUCCACAGUCUAUUACAUUUCAUUGAGCAAGCUUUUGCCUUCUGUGAAGUUCAAAUGUUCAAACUGGAUCAUCCCAGAUAACUCCCUGAACCAAGUAAGUUUUAAAGUCAAUGAAUUCCAGAUCCCUUAGGGGAUUUUUAAAUGUGGGGUUUGAAGGUUAGGAGGGUUUUUGGUUUUUUGUUUGUUUGUUUGUUUGUUUGUUG
rnacentral:lncRNA from 1 species